rnacentral:tRNA from 1 species
CCGUAGUUCAAUGGAUAGAACGUCAGAUUGCGGAUCUGAAGGUUGCAGGUUCGACUCCUGCCGGGC